ACAUGCAUACAUCGUAGCGUUAAUGCAUCAUCUCCCAUUAGAACUCCGCAAUUAAGUGCGCUUAGGCUAGAGUAGUACUAGGAUGGGUGAUCGCCUGGGAAGUCCUAGUGUUUUAGAUGCC
rnacentral:rRNA from 1 species